rnacentral:rRNA from 1 species
UACAGAGGGGGCAAGCGUUGUUCGGAAUUACUGGGCGUAAAGGGCGCGUAGGUGGCCUUCUAAGUUGAACGUGAAAUCCCUGGGCUCAACCCAGGAACUGCGUCCAAGACUGGGAGGCUUGAAUCCGGGAGAGGGACGCGGAAUUCCAGGUGUAGCGGUGAAAUGCGUAGAUAUCUGGAGGAAUACCGGUGGCGAAGGCGGCAUCCUGGACCGGCAUUGACGCUGAGUGAGCGAAAGCCAGGGGAGCAAACGGG